ACUCCUACGGGAGGCAGCAGUGGGGAAUAUUGCACAAUGGGGGAAACCCCGAUGCAGCCAUGCCGCGUGUGUGAAGAAGGCCUUCGGUUGUAAAGCACUUCUAGUUGUGAGGAAGGUGGUGUCGUUAAUAGCGGCAUCAUUUGACGUUAGCAACAGAAGAAGCACCGGCUAACUCCGUGCCAGCAGCCGCGGUAAUACGGAGGGUGCGAGCGUUAAUCGGAAUUACUGGGCGUAAAGCGCAUGCAGGUGGUUUGUUAAGUCAGAUGUGAAAGCCCGGGGCUCAACCUCGGAACUGCAUUUGAAACUGGCAGACUAGAGUACUGUAGAGGGGGGUAGAAUUUCAGGUGUAGCGGUGAAAUGCGUAGAGAUCUGAAGGAAUACCGGUGGCGAAGGCGGCCCCCUGGACAGAUACUGACACUCAGAUGCGAAAGCGUGGGGAGCAAACAGGAUUAGAUACCCUGGUAGCACA
rnacentral:rRNA from 1 species